AGGAAGAAACUUUUCAGAUGUCAACUCCAUUCUGCAAGCUGUAGAAGACGGUGUUGUUGACGGCGCUUUGAUCGACAAGCUUACCGGUGCACGCCAGGAAGCGCUACGCGACCCAAGCAGUGUUCUCGUGGUGAAAAGUAUCAUUCCUCAGUCAUUGACUUACGGCAUAUUUAUGACUGGUCAUGCUGUUAAAUUGCACAAACAGUUUCGACAGUAUUUACGGAACAACGCACAGCUCGUGACUGGCCUUGUUAAAAACUACACCCAACCGCUAAAA